CCCAGCGGUGAAAUCCCGCCCACCGCCACAAACAACCAAUGGCGUCAGCAGAUACGCUUGCGUUCGUCGUGUCAGCCAAUCAGCUGUCAGCCCGUAACACCCACAUACACAUAGGCAGUGCCAAGCAUUGUUGACAUGACUAAUCAGAGAAGCGCAGAGAGAACAGCCACGCCCCUUCCCACUGCGAUCAUUCAUAACAACUGAGAGCAAAGCGUUCUAUUAAAUCAUUUAUUUUAUUUAUUUAUUUUUAUUUAUUUUGCAUCUAGCUUUCCUGAAAUGUUACACAUAUUUAGGAAAACUUCACUUGCACAAAGCCAAGGCUAUAUUGAUUGUAUUGGUUUUUGUGCAAGUGACUUUUAGAAAAAAAUAUUUAUUUAAGUAGCUUAUGGCUUUUUAGGCAAAAAAAACAACAACUAUUAUUUAUUAAUUUAUUUAAUUGUGUGCAGUUAUUAAUUAAUUAUUUGUCCAGAUGACAGGAGCUUCCGGUGCAGAACAAAAGAACAGACCGAUGUACACAGAAAUUAAGGAGAUAAAAUGCAAUAUAACACAGUAGUAAAGAAAAACUGAUAAUAACAUUAAAAUAUAAUACAUCACAGUAACAAAAUAUAAAAGUUUAAACAAAUGUUUAUAAAUGAUGGGAAAUGAUGUCUCUGAGGUCAGGAAGAGUUCUGUUAUCAGUUAUUAUUAAUAUUUUCAUUGUAAUCUGGGUGUUGGACUGUAUUGUUCGGCUCAGUUCUGAUGUAGUGAAUGAGAGGACGUUCUGUCAGGCUUUGAGCUCAUGAUCAGGGUGUUUUCUUAUCUGAGCUGUGAUGAAUCAGGACAGCUCAUCAUCUUCAUCUUCAUCACAGGUGUGUCAGAGUGACUCAACACAUCCAACGCUCACUUCCUGCUUUUCCAAGCGCUGUAGUGUUCAGGAAUUUCUGAAGGUUUGCUGAAGUUAUUAAUCAUCAUCUGGGGUUCAUAUCUCUGGGAGUGUGAUGAUGUUGUGGGAGGAGCUUUGUGCUCCGGAGGAAUGUCGAGCAGUUGUGAAAUUCCCAGCCCUGUUCCUGAAGCAGAACAUUCCGAUACCAUGAUGCGUGUUGUUUUCUGAUUGCUGUACAGUAUCUGUGCAGGGCUCUCUUAUGUAAAGGUUACAGUAAUAUGAGCUACUCAGGGGUUAGUCAGUGUUUGUUAAACACAUUAGACACCGUACGGACCAGAAGUAAACACGUUUCCUCAUCCAUCACUCGAACCCAGCGCACAAAUAUACAGAUGUUGAAUCCCGGGUCUGUUCCUCUGCGCUGUGACUGAUGAGAGGAUUGUUCAGACGUGUGUUCGCUGGAAUGUGAGUGUGAUUCUGUGGAGGAGCUGGUGACGUCGGAGCAGGAUCCACUGUAUUCCCAUCGCAGGACUGAAAUAGCUCCUUCCUGCCACUGCGUCACUGUAUCCCAGCCCACAUCCGCCUCUUCAUCCUCAUCCUCCUCAUCCUCACACAGCGACUCUCAGCUCUCUGAAACACUAACAGAGCUUUACAUGUUAAAACCUCGUUCUGAUUAAUAAGCCUCUGAGAACCAGUGAGUGAAGAGUGAACGGAGCUGUGUGUGUUCAGGAAUCAUCUGAAGUGGAUCUUCUGAGGUCACAUGAUCAUCAGGAGUCUGCAGGAGAAACAGAAAACACAGUAAAUCAUCAGGAUUCUCACACGCAUGACGUUUAUAAGGAACAUUGUGCUUAUGUUUACGCUUAACUAAAAUAUCUGGCCACAAAUGAUGUAGAUCCUGUCAUAUAAGCGAAGUAAAAACUGUGAAAUAUUAUUAUUAUGUCUUCUUAAAGUAUAAUGUAUUUCUGUGAUGCUCCGCUGUAUUUCCAGCAUCAUUCCUCCAGUCUUCAGUGUCACAUGAUCAUCAUAUUAUUCUGAUUUCUGAAGAUUUACUGCUCAAGAAACAUUUCUGAUUAUUAUCAGUGUUGAAAACAUUAAUAUUUUUGUGAAAACUUUGAUGUAUUUUAUUUUUCAGGAUUCACAGAUGAAUAAAAAAGUUCAAAAGAA